AAAAAAAAAAAAAGAGCUGCCUGCUAGAUUAUAAAAUUAGCAAACUUUGCUGAAACACAAUUACUGCUGCCAGAGCACAACAGAAUGGGAUUCAAGCCAUCAAGUUAUGUGAAAUUUCCAAAUGAUCAAUUACAUUGAUUCCUAAGACAUGGACUAGUAGCAUCUGAUGGCUAAGAUAGCAACAAUGAAUUUUGGUGGAAAUUCUAACAGCUUUACAAGUGAGAACUGGAAGCACCAUGCGCAUUAUCAUGAAAUACAUUACUGAGAUAAUCAGAGAGUCACCUUCUUUUUUACAAUUUUGACCAU
rnacentral:misc_RNA from 1 species